UCAAAAGCAGUAAGUGAAGCAUCGUCAAAGUUUGGGGCAGCCUCUGUUCCGGGGCCAGUUUUCUUCAUAUUUGAGAAGGUCUCAACGUUUAUUGUUACUGAAGAAAAAGCAGCAGAGCCAGCAACCGCGGCAGCAGGAGAAGAAACAAAACCAGAACAAGAGACAACAAGUAGUAGUACCGCCGCAGUCACAGAGAAGGACGACGUAGUUGUUGAGGAAGAGAAGAAAGAAGAGGCCCCCGCCGGCCCUGAGAAAACUGAGCCGGCAGAAGCCGCCGCCGCCCCAGCCCCAACUGAGCCUCUUCCUGCCGCCGCCAAGGAGGACCAACCAGCUGCUGCAGAGCCACCAAAGCCUUGAGAACAUGCAUCAACUGACAAGACAAAUUCAUAUCCAUAUAUACAUAGAUAUAUAUUUCAUAUUCAUCAAGUGAAAGUGAAGUAAUAAUGUUAAUAUUUUGUGUACGUAAAAGUCUUGUAAAAUGCAAAACAUGAUUU
rnacentral:lncRNA from 1 species